CCCCGUAGCUCAGUUGGUAGAGCAUGGUGUUUGCAACGCCAGGGGUUGUGGGUUCGAUUCCCACGGGGG
rnacentral:tRNA from 1 species